rnacentral:rRNA from 1 species
AUUGAACGCUGGCGGCAGGCCUAACACAUGCAAGUCGAGCGGUAGCACAGAGAGCUUGCUCUCGGGUGACGAGCGGCGGACGGGUGAGUAAUGUCUGGGAAACUGCCUGAUGGAGGGGGAUAACUACUGGAAACGGUAGCUAAUACCGCAUAACGUCGCAAGACCAAAGUGGGGGACCUUCGGGCCUCAUGCCAUCAGAUGUGCCCAGAUGGGAUUAGCUUGUAGGUGAGGUAACGGCUCACCUAGGCGACGAUCCCUAGCUGGUCUGAGAGGAUGACCAGCCACACUGGAACUGAGACACGGUCCAGACUCCUACGGGCGGCAGCAGUGGGGAAUAUUGCACAAUGGGCGCAAGCCUGAUGCAGCCAUGCCGCGUGUGUGAAGAAGGCCUUCGGGUUGUAAAGCACUUUCAGCGGGGAGGAAGGCGAUAAGGUUAAUAACCUUGUCGAUUGACGUUACCCGCAGAAGAAGCACCGGCUAACUCCGUGCCAGCAGCCGCAGUAACAC